rnacentral:rRNA from 1 species
AUUGAACGCUGGCGGCAUGCCUUACACAUGCAAGUCGAACGGCAGCACGGGAGCAAUCCUGGUGGCGAGUGGCGAACGGGUGAGUAAUAUAUCGGAACGUGCCCAGUCGUGGGGAUAACGUAGCGAAAGCUACGCUAAUACCGCAUACGAUCUAUGGAUGAAAGCGGGGGAUCGCAAGACCUCGCGCGAUUGGAGCGGCCGAUAUCAGAUUAGGUAGUUGGUGAGGUAAAGGCUCACCAAGCCAACGAUCUGUAGCUGGUCUGAGAGGACGACAGCACACUGGAACUGAGACACGGUCCAGACUCCUACGGAGGCAGCAGUGGGGAAUUUUGGGACAAUGGGCGCAAGCCUGAUCCAGCAAUGCCGCGUGCA